CACUGCUCUUCUUCGGCGUUUUUUUUUUUUUUCUUCACUCCUGGCUGUUCAGAUCAGAUAACAAACAAGCUACAGUGUCGUUGUAUUUAUGAUUUUUGUUUUGUCCUUAAUGGACAUUGUUAUUUUUCAGAGGACUAAUUCUUCCUUUGGCGGCGUGGUAACAAGUGUAUGAUGGAACAAAAACUUUCCUGGACUCAGUUUAGCAGGCUAUGAGUGCGUGUGAUGGAGGACAGUCUAUGUGGGGACUUGGACCACCUGAUCCAAGAUGAGGACGCCACAUUGAGGGUGUCAGCAACCAAGUCCUAUUUGUCGUGGUGCUCAGUUUUACUU